rnacentral:rRNA from 1 species
CGGGCGUUAAGUUGCAGGGUAUAGACCCGAAACCCGGUGAUCUAGCCAUGGGCAGGUUGAAGGUUGGGUAACACUAACUGGAGGACCGAACCGACUAAUGUUGAAAAAUUAGCGGAUGACCUGUGGCUGGGGGUGAAAGGCCAAUCAAACCGGGAGAUAGCUGGUUCUCCCCGAAAGCUAUUUAGGUAGCGCCUCGUGAAUUCAUCUCCGGGGGUAGAGCACUGUUUCGGCUAGGGGGCCAUCCCGGCUUACCAACCCGAUGCAAACUGCGAAUACCGGAGAAUGUUAUCACGGGAGACACACGGCGGGUGCUAACGUCCGUCGUGAAGAGGGAAACAACCCAGACCGCCAGCUAAGGUCCCAAAGUCAUGGUUAAGUGGGAAACGAUGUGGGAAGGCCCAGACAGCCAGGAUGUUGGCUUAGAAGCAGCCAUCAUUUAAAGAAAGCGUAAUAGCUCACUGGUCGAGUCGGCCUGCGCGGAAGAUGUAACGGGGCUAAACCAUGCACCGAAGCUGCGGCAGCGAACGUAUCACCCAAGACAACUUUACGGAGUUGACGAUUGACGGAGCGAAGCGACGUCAAAGCGUUCAUUAAAGUCGAGUUGGCUUAGGGAUACGUUCGUUGGGUAGGGGAGCGUUCUGUAAGCCUGUGAAGGUGUGUCGUGAGGCAUGCUGGAGGUAUCAGAAGUGCGAAUGCUGACAUAAGUAACGAUAAAGCGGGUGAAAAGCCCGCUCGCCGGAAGACCAAGGGUUCCUGUCCAACGUUAAUCGGGGCAGGGUGAGUCGACCCCUAAGGCGAGGCCGAAAGGCGUAGUCGAUGGGAAACGGGUUAAUAUUCCCGUACUUGGUGUUACUGCGAAGGGGGGACGGAGAAGGCUAUGUUGGCCGGGCGACGGUUGUCCCGGUUUAAGCGUGUAGGUGUGUGUUCCAGGUAAAUCCGGUU